AGACGCCUUAUCUCAUGUGGUAUUAUUCUCCAAGUGAAUUUAUCCACUCCAUUCAAAGGACAACUCCACCAAGAGAGAAAUGAGAGGUAAAGAGUGUCUCGCAGCUUUUAAAAUUGAUAUGAGAAAAACCUUUGACAAGAUCAAUUAGGAUUUCAUUCUUAUUGUCAUGAAGCAUAUGGGAUUUGAACGUGAAUGGAUCAAUUUAAUUCAUCAGUGUAUCUCCACUAUCUCUUACUAGGUCCUUAUUAAUGGCUCUCUUUUGAAAGACUUCACCCUUUUCAAGGUUGCUGGACAGAGACAAAAAAUGAACCAACAUUAUUCUUGGAUGCACCAAAACAGUGUGGAAACUUGAACCACCAUUCAAAGAUGUCCAAAAUCUCUUCCAAUUUGUCACCAUUAGUCAGCAACUAGAGGGCAACCACAUACUAAGAAGAGAAACAGUGAAAUGGGCAACAUGUGCUUUGAGAGCUUGCAUUAGUUUCUCCUUGCCAUAAAUGCUCUUCCUUGAUAAUGUACCAAAAAAAUAAACUAAAACUAAAAGCUAGCCAAUGAUAAGUUGAAGUCUUAGUGAGUGUGUGUAUACGAAUGUUGCAAAGUCUCAGCCAGGGUUUUGAUGAAUGGUAAAUGAUCAGUCCUUUUCUUCAA